rnacentral:rRNA from 1 species
UACGGGGGGGGGCAAGCGUUGUUCGGAAUUACUGGGCGUAAAGGGCUCGUAGGCGGCCAACUAAGUCAGACGUGAAAUCCCUCGGCUUAACCGGGGAACUGCGUCUGAUACUGGAUGGCUCGAGAUUGGGAGAGGGAUGCGGAAUUCCAGGUGUAGCGGUGAAAUGCGUAGAUAUCGAGAGGAACACCUGCGGCGAAGACGGGUAGCUGGGCCGACACUGACGCUGAGGCGCGAAAGCCAGGGGAGCGAACGGG